AGAAAGGCCCUUAUUAGGGUCACCACAUUUUUUAAAAAGAGAUCAUU
rfam:Mesocricetus auratus contig191435, whole genome shotgun sequence.